AGAGUUUGAUCCUGGCUCAGGAUGAACGCUGGCGGCGUGCCUAAUACAUGCAAGUCGAACGCACAGCGAAAGGUGCUUGCACCUUUCAAGUGAGUGGCGAACGGGUGAGUAACACGUGGACAACCUGCCUCAAGGCUGGGGAUAACAUUUAGAAACAGAUGCUAAUACCGAAUAAAACUCAGUGUCGCAUGACACAAAGUUAAAAGGCGCUUUGGCGUCACCUAGAGAUGGAUCCGCGGUGCAUUAGUUAGUUGGUGGGGUAAAGGCCUACCAAGACAAUGAUGCAUAGCCGAGUUGAGAGACUGAUCGGCCACAUUGGGACUGAGACACGGCCCAAACUCCUACGGGAGGCUGCAGUAGGGAAUCUUCCACAAUGGGCGAAAGCCUGAUGGAGCAACGCCGCGUGUGUGAUGAAGGCUUUCGGGUCGUAAAGCACUGUUGUAUGGGAAGAACAGCUAGAAUAGGGAAUGAUUUUAGUUUGACGGUACCAUACCAGAAAGGGACGGCUAAAUACGUGCCAGCAGCCGCGGUAAUACGUAUGUCCCGAGCGUUAUCCGGAUUUAUUGGGCGUAAAGCGAGCGCAGACGGUUGAUUAAGUCUGAUGUGAAAGCCCGGAG
rnacentral:rRNA from 1 species